rnacentral:rRNA from 1 species
UAAGUGUAGUGGGGAGUCUGCCCGAUAGAGGGGGAUAACUACUGGAAACGGUGGCUAAUACCGCAUAAUGUCUACGGACCAAAGCAGGGGCUCUUCGGACCUUGCACUAUCGGAUGAACCCAUAUGGGAUUAGCUAGUAGGUGGGGUAAAGGCUCACCUAGGCGACGAUCUCUAGCUGGUCUGAGAGGAUGAUCAGCCACACUGGGACUGAGACACGGCCCAG